UACGUAGGGGGCAAGCGUUGUCCGGAAUCAUUGGGCGUAAAGAGCGUGUAGGCGGCUUGGCAAGUCUCGCGUGAAAUCGCCCGGCUCAACUGGGCGGGGUCGGCGGAUACGGCCGAGCUGGAGCAAGCUAGGGGGUAAUGGAAUUCCCGGUGUAGUGGUGGAAUGCGUAGAUAUCGGGAGGAACACCAGUGGCGAAGGCGGUUACCUGGAGCUUUGCUGACGCUGAUGCGCGAAAGCGUGGGGAGCGAUCCGG
rnacentral:rRNA from 1 species